rnacentral:rRNA from 1 species
AUGUCGAAUCAGCAGAGGGCUAAGUGGGCAACCAGCCCAAGGAAAAAGAAAGCAUACAGCAGGCCAAAUGCCAUAGGGCAUAACUUGUUGAGCAGAUUAAGUACAACAACAAGCGGUGAUUCUCCCAGCACAACAAGAGUGUCUGAUAAAUUAUUGCUAGACAAAGCCACCACAAUUGGUAAUGACCACUCUCCCGGUACAACAUAUGGCACAACCAGCCAGCAUGUCCACAGCACCAUCUUGACCAUCCUUCAAUUCUCCACGAAGGCACCAGAACGGGCCAAAAAGGCAGGCAGCGCCGGCAGGAGCAAGACCGCGCAGACUGCGUCUUCCCCACGAACCCUAGCCGCCUCCUCGCCUCCUCCUCCAUCCGCGCGCCGCGUCCUCUUCUCCUCCUCCAUCCGCGCGCCUCGGCGGCGACGCCAUGGAAGGCGGCCGGGUCAGAGCGGUCCCCCGCGUCCCUACUUCCCCGCUCGGCGCUCUCUACUCCCAGCGCAGCUGCCGCCUCCCUCCACUCUUCCCAUCUCGCCAGAGCCGCCGCACCCGGAGGCAACCGGCGUUGCUCCAUCUCGAGCUGCCCGUUCCCUUCUCUCCCCGCAGCGGGCGGAGAAGAUGAAGAGGAGCUCGUCCGCCCACCUUCCACCAUGGUUUGCAGCGGCCGGAGAAGAUGGAGAGGCCGAGCUGCGGCUGCCUCGUAAGGCGGAGGAGGUCAUUGGGGCCGGCUUCCCUUCCGUUUUGGCUGCCAAGCUCCGCGCGUUGAAGGGCUUAACUGAAGCUAUCAAGUGCUUGUUGGAAGCUGGUGCAAAUCCAAAUGUUCUUGACAAGGGAUGGACAUAUGGAUUGAAUGUGCUUGUCUGUAAUUCAUAUAGUGCAUCAAUGAUCUGCCUAGCUUGUUUUCAUUUCCAGUUGUGUGCAGGUUUUCCCAACAAGUUUGUUGUAAUGCCUUAUUUAAGUACUAAAAAAAUUGGCCCGGGGAGACGACCAUUGUGUCCUGGAAGAAGCUGGUCAAGGAGGCAGGCCCGGGAGCCGCCCUCUUUGCCCGCCCCGGCGAUACAGCCCAUCAUCGCCCCCCUCGCGGGGCCCUCUGAUGCAGGAAAAACUGCUCACCAGGAGCUUGAUGGUUUGAAUUUCAUGGAGGAUACUACUGUAGCUCUUACUAAUUUGCUGGCAUCUGCACCAGCAGAAAUCAAGUGUGUGGCCAGCAUAGUUUUUUCAUCAUUCAAUCCUCCACCGAGUUAUAGGAGAAGAACCAUUGUUCCAAACAUCAGCCCUCUGGAUUCUCAUAUGAUAGGCUGGUUAAGAUACAUUGCUCUUGAAGCUGGGGUGAUUGAUCAAGUAGGGCCUCAAAACAUAUACACGCUUCCACCAAAAGUGCAGCAAAAACCUGAGGAAAAUUCAAGAAAACUGUUCAGGAACAGUUGGAUUAUUGUUAUAUUUGAUAUUGAUGCUGUCUCAUCUUUUUGGAGUCAGGUACAUCCAACAGAAAGUGACCCAAAUGAUCCAUCACAGUCAAAUCGGUUCAAUGUAGUUAUUGAGAUAAUCGAGCGCCUUUACAUGGUAAUGCACAUGUUGUUAUCUCAAGAUGCAUUUUUAACAUUAUACACCAUGUGCAUAACGUCUUUGCCCCAUGUCCUCAUACUGCACUUUGAUAGGGCAGGCAUAGUAGUGACGAAGAAGAUCUGGGUGAUGUGCCUGAUGAUAAUCAGUAUGACACUGAAGAUUCUUUCAUUGAUGACGCUGAAUUGGGGUCUCACACUGGAUUUCAUUGCAAGCCCAUUGGCCCUCCAUCAGCGGCAGCGACGAGCGGCAGUCAGCACGAGGUCGGGGUGGAGGGUCAUGAGCACCAGCAGGCGCGUCGAGGGGCACCAUGGUCACUGUGGGAGCACGCCAAACCCGAAGGCCAUCACCAGCCACUGCUUAGGUGAGCAAAUCCAUUCUCCUAUCAGAUUCAGAUAUCUUUGGGUAGUCAAGAGGAAAAAUUGCAUUUAUUUAUAUAAAAGCACACUGCGAGAUCGGCGGUCAAGGCCACGUUCACGGCUUCGGGGGACCACCCACGGUCACCAAGGUGGCGGCGUCCGUGUAGGAGAGAGAGAAGAUGAGGAGAGAGAGAGAAGGAAGGAGAGGAGGGACAAAGAGAGGUCAGUGGAGAGGGAGGUGCAGUGUCGUGAGAAGAAUACAAUGGGGCACGGUCUUCUGGAGGUGCAUCAGGUCCAUGCCAAGGGCCUCUCGGGCAGCGAUUUCCUCGGGAAGAUAGACUCGUACGUGGUCGUGCAGUACCGGAGCCAGGAGCGCAAGGGCAGCACGGCCCGAGAUAACUACUUCAGGUUAGGCGGGAGAAUUAAAAAGGCGAGGAUUGCUGUGUCCAACCUGCACAAGAAUGCCAAGAAGUCCUUCUCGGAGACAUCCGGCAAAGAGAAGGGACACAAGGCACGCAGACCGUGUCACGACCAACACAAGGAACUUCCGUCGCGCGACCACCACUCCAUCACAGACCGAAUCAACGUUCCCCCACCUUACGCGCCUAAGAGAUGGCAAGCGGGAUGCAGGACCCGACCGUGCAGGAGGACGGAGGAGAAAGGCCUGGAGAAAGCGCUGGCGAUGUCAUACAUUGCGGUCCGGAUGCCCACACCCUGGGAAGCAGCCAAAGACCCAAGUACAACGUCCAACAUCACAUUCAACACUGGGGACUUCCGCGAGCACCCAAGACAACACCUUCAUGAAGGGGGCAACGCUGUGACGCCGCCAUUGUCCCCUUCAUGA